GUGUUUGAACUUUUUACAGAGGACUGACAAAGUUUAAAUUGGCAUGCCAUGCCUCAGGCCACGCUGGAGCCAUGUAUGACCUCCAACUGUACAAGUACAAGUCCUAAAAGAGAUCAUGGCAGUUUGGAAGGCAGCAAGAUUGACACGGAUGUUUCAUCCAGCAGUUAUCCUGGGAUUUGGAGGUCAUGCCAGAUGAUCAGUUUUCUGUAUGUGUCCCUACCAGAAACAUUUAAGAAUUGUUAAGGCAGCUCAUUACCCCUAUGAGCAGUGCAAUCAGACGGAGGCUUUUCACAGAUGAAAUCAAAUUUGUGGAUAAGAGAAGGCACUGGGUACCAGGAUGAGAAGAAGCUGCCAUGAACUACUAUGAAGACCUACAGCCACUGGGGAACAGGGACAACUGUGCACCCUUUUAAGCUACAAACCCUGUAUCUCACCUCAUUCUGGCUUGCCUGGUGUCUCUGAUAUUUUAGGCUAUAUUUAUACAGGAAUAUCAUGCUGAUCUGUUUAUUUCAAUCUAGUUGUGGCAACUCAACUCUAAUAAACUGUUCAUUUCACUUUGCU